AUUGAACGCUGGCGGCAGGCCUAACACAUGCAAGUCGAGCGGCAGCGGGGGGAAGCUUGCUUCCCCGCCGGCGAGCGGCGGACGGGUGAGUAAUGUCUGGGAAACUGCCUGAUGGAGGGGGAUAACUACUGGAAACGGUAGCUAAUACCGCAUAACGUCUUCGGACCAAAGUGGGGGACCUUCGGGCCUCAUGCCAUCAGAUGUGCCCAGAUGGGAUUAGCUUGUUGGUGGGGUAACGGCUCACCAAGGCGACGAUCCCUAGCUGGUCUGAGAGGAUGACCAGCCACACUGGAACUGAGACACGGUCCAGACUCCUACGGGAGGCAGCAGUGGGGAAUAUUGCACAAUGGGCGCAAGCCUGAUGCAGCCAUGCCGCGUGUAUGAAGAAGGCCUUCGGGUUGUAAAGUACUUUCAGCGGGGAGGAAGGUGUUGUGGUUAAUAACCACAGCAAUUGACGUUACCCGCAGAAGAAGCACCGGCUAACUCCGUGCCAGCCGCCGCCGUAAAAC
rnacentral:rRNA from 1 species